rnacentral:rRNA from 1 species
GAUGAACGCUAGCGGCAGGCCUAACACAUGCAAGUCGAGGGGUAACAGGGUAGCAAUAUCGCUGACGACCGGCGCACGGGUGAGUAACGCGUAUGCAACCUUCCUUUAACUGGGGGAUAGCCCGGAGAAAUUCGGAUUAAUACCCCAUAACAUCAUAGAAAGGCAUCUUUCAGUGAUUAAAGCUCCGGCGGUUAAAGAUGGGCAUGCGUGCCAUUAGCUAGUUGGUGAGGUAACGGCUCACCAAGGCUACGAUGGUUAGGGGGUCUGAGAGGAUGAUCCCCCACACUGGUACUGAGACACGGACCAGACUCCUACGGGAGGCAGCAGUGAGGAAUAUUGGGCAAUGGGCGCAAGCCUGACCCAGCCAUGCCGCGUGAAGGAUGAAUGCCCUAUGGGUUGUAAACUUCUUUUUUACGGGACAAAACUCUCGGACGUGUCCGGGAUUGAUGGUACUGUAUGAAUAAGCAUCGGCUAACUCCGUGCCAGCAGCCGCCGUAACAC